rnacentral:rRNA from 1 species
UGAAUACGAGAUGCUACGGCGUCGAAGCAGUCUAUGUCAUACUUCCAAGAAAAGCUUGCACUGUCAUAAACAAAUAAUGCCUGUACCAUAACCGACACAGGUGGGUAGGUAGAGUAUACUAAGGGGCGCGAGAUAACUCUCUCUAAGGAACUCGGCAAAAUGACUCCGUAACUUCGGGAGAAGGAGUGCCUUAUUUAUAAGGUUGCAAUAACAAGAUCCAAGCAACUGUUUACCAAAAACACGGGUCUCCGCUAAGUCGUAAGACGAUGUAUGGGGGCUGACGCCUGCCCAGUGCCAGAAGGUUAAAGAAGUUGGUUAGCAUCCGCGAAGCUGAUAACUGAAGCCCUGGUGAACGGCGGCCGUAACGAUAACGGUCCUAAGGUAGCGAAAUUCCUUGUCGGGUAAGUUCCGACCCGCACGAAAGGCGUAAUGAUUUGGAUACUGUCUCGGAGAGGGGCUCGGUGAAAUAGACUUGUCUGUGAAGAUGCGGACUACCUGCACCAGGACAGAAAGACCCUAUGAAGCUUUACUGUAACCUGAAAUUGAAAUUGGACUUUACUUGCGCAGUAUAGGUGGGAGGCGUUGAGAAUAUUCUUGCGGGAUUAUUGGAGCCAUCAGUGAGAUACCACUCUUGUAAUGUUAGAUUUCUAACUUUGUAUCAUUAUCUGGUCAAAGAACAGUUUCAGGCGGGCAGUUUGACUGGGGCGGUCGCCUCCUAAACGGUAACGGAGGCGCACAAAGGUUUCCUCUGAACGGGUAGAAAUCGUAUCUAGAGUGUAAAGGCAUAAGGAAGCUUGACUGUGAGACCUACAAGUCGAGCAGGGACGAAAGUCGGUCUUAGUGAUCUGACGGUGCUGAGUGGAAAGGCCGUCACUCAACGGAUAAAAGUUACUCUAGGAUAACAGGCUGAUCUCCCCCAAGAGUUCACAUCGACGGGGAGGUUUGGCACCUCGAUGUCGGCUCAUCGCAUCCUGGGGCGGUAGUACGUCCCAAGGGUUGGGCUGUUCGCCCAUGAAAGCGGUACGCGAGCUGGGUUCAGAACGUCGUGAGACAGUUCGGUCCAUAUCCGGUGUAGGCGUUAGAAUAUUGAGAGGAGCCUUCUUUAGUACGAGAGGACCGAGAAGGACAUACCUCUGGUGUACCAGUUAUCGUGCCAACGGUAAACGCUGGGUAGCUAUGUGUGGAGUGGAUAACCGCUGAAAGCAUCUAAGUGGGAAGCCCACCUCAAGAUAAGUAUUCUCA